rnacentral:rRNA from 1 species
CCUACGGGUGGCAGCAGUGAGGAAUAUUGGUCAAUGGACGCGAGUCUGAACCAGCCAAGUAGCGUGAAGGAUGACUGCCCUAUGGGUUGUAAACUUCUUUUAUAUGGGAAUAAAAUGUUCCACGUGUGUGAUUUUGUAUGUACCAUAUGAAUAAGGAUCGGCUAACUCCGUGCCAGCAGCCGCGGUAAUACGGAGGAUCCGAGCGUUAUCCGGAUUUAUUGGGUUUAAAGGGAGCGUAGGUGGAUUGUUAAGUCAGUUGUGAAAGUUUGCGGCUCAACCGUAAAAUUGCAGUUGAAACUGGCAGUCUUGAGUACAGUAGAGGUGGGCGGAAUUCGUGGUGUAGCGGUGAAAUGCUUAGAUAUCACGAAGAACUCCGAUUGCGAAGGCAGUUCACUGGACUGUAACUGACACUGAGGCUCGAAAGUGUGGGUAUCAAACAGGAUUAGAUACCCGGGUAGUC